AGCGAACGCUGGCGGCAGGCCUAACACAUGCAAGUCGAACGAACCUUUCGGGGUUAGUGGCGGACGGGUGAGUAACACGUGGGAACGUGCCUUUAGGUUCGGAAUAACUCAGGGAAACUUGUGCUAAUACCGAAUGUGCCCUUCGGGGGAAAGAUUUAUCGCCUUUAGAGCGGCCCGCGUCUGAUUAGCUAGUUGGUUGAGGUAAUGGCUCACCAAGGCGACGAUCAGUAGCUGGUCGGAGAGGAUGAUCAGCCACAUUGGGACUGAGACACGGCCCAAACUCCUACGGGAGGCAGCAGUGGGGAAUCUUGCGCAAUGGGCGAAAGCCUGACGCAGCCAUGCCGCGUGAAUGAUGAAGGUCUUAGGAUUGUAAAAUUCUUUCACCGGGGACGAUAAUGACGGUACCCGGAGAAGAAGCCCCGGCUAACUUCGUG
rnacentral:rRNA from 1 species